GAUGAACGCUGGCGGCGUGCCUAAUACAUGCAAGUCGAGCGAACAGACGAGGAGCUUGCUCCUCUGACGUUAGCGGCGGACGGGUGAGUCACACGUGGAUAACCUACCUAUAAGACUGGGAUAACUUCGGGAAACCGGAGCUAAUACCGGAUAAUAUAUUGAACCGCAUGGUUCAAUAGUGAAAGACGGUUUUGCUGUCACUUAUAGAUGGAUCCGCGCCGCAUUAGCUAGUUGGUAAGGUAACGGCUUACCAAGGCAACGAUGCGUAGCCGACCUGAGAGGGUGAUCGGCCACACUGGAACUUAGACACGGUCCAGACUCCUACGGGAGGCAGCAGUAGGGAAUCUUCCGCAAUGGGCGAAAGCCUGACGGAGCAACGCCGCGUGAGUGAUGAAGGUCUUCGGAUCGUAAAACUCUGUUAUUAGGGAAGAACAAAUGUGUAAGUAACUAUGCACGUCUUGACGGUACCUAAUCAGAAAGCCACGGCUAACUACGUG
rnacentral:rRNA from 1 species